rnacentral:RNase_P_RNA from 1 species
CCAGUCAGCCGGACAGUCGCGUGGCGCUUCUUCAAGCGCCCCGAGGAAAGUCCGGGCUCCUCCUGGCAACGGUGGUGGGUAACGCCCACCCGGAGCGAUCCGCGGGACAGUGCCACAGAAAGUAGACCGCCGGCUUUGGCCGGUCAGGGUGAAAGGGUGGUGUAAGAGACCACCGCGGCGCCGGUGACGGCGCUGGCAGGGUAAACCCCACCGGGAGCAAGGUCAGACAGGAAGCGCGACGAGUGCCAGGCUCAGCUUCCGGGUAGACCGCUCGAGGUCAUCGGCAACGAUGAUCCUAGAUAGAUGACUGUCGAACACAGAACCCGGCUUAUAGGCUGGCUGGUCCC